CUGCACCUGUGCAUGGCUGUCAUGAGCGAGCGUGUGUGUGUGUGUGUGUGUGUGUGUGUGUGUGUGUCCUACACAUGCUCCAGUGCUCUCACACCGCCGUCCUCUCCGUCUGCUCCUCCUGGGGUCUCCUGCUCACCUUCAUGCAGGUGAGUGAUGGACGAAAGCACCUUUGAGACAUUUGAGGAAGAGCUUGGUAAACCACUGCAAGAGGUUCCUCCUCAGAAACCUGUCAGACAAACACGAACAGGAGGCAGAACAGCAGCGUCGUUACGCAAAGCGUUCUCCAUCCAGAAUCUGACGCAGAUCGAGACACCGUGGGAAGGUGUGACGCUGAACAGGUGUCUGAUAGCAGCCAUAACCAUCCUUCUGCUGAGCUCCGUUUUACAGAGAAUACACGAAGCCGUCAGAGGCCGCAAAGACGUCAGUGAAGAGCUCAUAGCACUAAACGAGAGACAUACUCUGAUUAAAAGAGGGAAAAUAACACCACAUGAGCCAGACACUUCCUUAUGGGAAACAUUUUUCUGGUGGAUUGAUGAUGAUGAUGACGAAGGCAAAUCUAAGAGAGCGACUCGUGGGAGAGUUUCCAGGGGCCUCAGGCACCGGGCCCUUCCGGACCCCAGGCUCUUGAAGAAAAGAGAGACAAAAUUCACCGAGCGCAGAAGAAGACACGAAGUAGAUGAGACUAAAGAGAAACUGACAAAAGAGGAAGAGAUGAAAGUCAAGAAGAAGGUCGAAGAAGAGGAGGAGGACAUAGAGAAGAUGAAUAAACCGAAGAAACCAGCGAAAGAGAGCAAGCGAAAACCUAUGAAGAAAGAGAAUCAGUGACGUACCAACGCAUAAAGAAAAUAGGGCUGAUGGCAUAUGUGCUUAAAUUAUCAUGAAAAUAAUGCUAAAUAAUCUUAAUGGUCCUAAAAUGAUUACAUGUUUUCUUUUGAUUACAGGCUGAAAUAUUAUACACUCUCAGAUCUUGAUGCACUUCUCUAGUCAGUUGAUGAUCAUGUGUAUAAUUUGGUGCUUUUUUGCUUUGUAAAGUCCAUAUUUUUCAGAGACUUGAUAGUAACUUUACUGAAACCAUAAACCCCUCGAGACUUUUUUUACGACUGCAAGUAAAACUCACAAACAUUAUAUUCUAAUAGAGGACGUUAAGUUUCAGAUGCCACUGAAAUCACUGGUUACUGUCAGGUGAGAAUGAGAUCAAGAGGUUGCAUUAACAAGAAUUGGUUUAUAUCAAUGCAAGUUUAUUUUAAAUGUUUAAAACAAUAGUUAAGCGACAUUAUAAAGUAAUGCAAUG
rnacentral:lncRNA from 1 species